rnacentral:rRNA from 1 species
AGAGGUGCUUGCACCUUUCAAGCGAGUGGCGAACGGGUGAGUAACACGUGGAUAACCUGCCUCAAGGCUGGGGAUAACAUUUGGAAACAGAUGCUAAUACCGAAUAAAACUUAGUAUCGCAUGAUAUAAAGUUAAAAGGCGCUACGGCGUCACCUAGAGAUGGAUCCGCGGUGCAUUAGUUAGUUGGUGGGGUAAAGGCUUACCAAGACAAUGAUGCAUAGCCGAGUUGAGAGACUGAUCGGCCACAUUGGGACUGAGACACGGCCCAAACUCCUACGGGAGGCUGCAGUAGGGAAUCUUCCACAAUGGGCGCAAGCCUGAUGGAGCAACGCCGCGUGUGUGAUGAAGGCUUUCGGGUCGUAAAGCACUGUUGUAUGGGAAGAAAUGCUAAAAUAGGGAAUGAUUUUAGUUUGACGGUACCAUACCAGAAAGGGACGGCUAAAUACGUGCCAGCAGCCGCGGUAAUACGUAUGUCCCGAGCGUUAUCCGGAUUUAUUGGGCGUAAAGCGAGCGCAGACGGUUGAUUAAGUCUGAUGUGAAAGCCCGGAGCUCAACUCCGGAAUGGCAUUGGAAACUGGUUAACUUGAGUGUUGUAGAGGUAAGUGGAACUCCAUGUGUAGCGGUGGAAUGCGUAGAUAUAUGGAAGAACACCAGUGGCGAAGGCGGCUUACUGGACAACAACUGACGUUGAGGCUCGAAAGUGUGGGUAGCAAACAGGAUUAGAUACCCUGGUAGUCCACACCGUAAACGAUGAAUACUAGGUGUUAGGAGGUUUCCGCCUCUUAGUGCCGAAGCUAACGCAUUAAGUAUUCCGCCUGGGGAGUACGACCGCAAGGUUGAAACUCAAAGGAAUUGACGGGGACCCGCACAAGCGGUGGAGCAUGUGGUUUAAUUCGAAGCAACGCGAAGAACCUUACCAGGUCUUGACAUCCUUUGAAGCUUUUAGAGAUAGAAGUGUUCUCUUCGGAGACAAAGUGACAGGUGGUGCAUGGUCGUCGUCAGCUCGUGUCGUGAGAUGUUGGGUUAAGUCCCGCAACGAGCGCAACCCUUAUUGUUAGUUGCCAGCAUUCAGUUGGGCACUCUAGCGAGACUGCCGGUGACAAACCGGAGGAAGGCGGGGACGACGUCAGAUCAUCAUGCCCCUUAUGACCUGGGCUACACACGUGCUACAAUGGCGUAUACAACGAGUUGCCAACCUGCGAAGGUGAGCUAAUCUCUUAAAGUACGUCUCAGUUCGGACUGCAGUCUGCAACUCGACUGCACGAAGUCGGAAUCGCUAGUAAUCGCGGAUCAGCACGCCGCGGUGAAUACGUUCCCGGGUCUUGUACACACCGCCCGUCACACCAUGGGAGUUUGUAAUGCCCAAAGCCGGUGGCCUAAC